GAUGAACGCUGGCGGCGUGCCUAAUACAUGCAAGUCGAGCGAACAGACGAGGAGCUUGCUCCUCUGACGUUAGCGGCGGACGGGUGAGUAACACGUGGAUAACCUACCUAUAAGACUGGGAUAACUUCGGGAAACCGGAGCUAAUACCGGAUAAUAUAUUGAACCGCAUGGUUCAAUAGUGAAAGACGGUUUUGCUGUCACUUAUAGAUGGAUCCGCGCCGCAUUAGCUAGUUGGUAAGGUAACGGCUUACCAAGGCAACGAUGCGUAGCCGAUCUGAGAGGGUGAUCGGCCACACUGGAACUGAGACACGGUCCAGACUCCUACGGGAGGCAGCAGUAGGGAAUCUUCCGCAAUGGGCGAAAGCUUGACGGAGCAACGCCGCGUGAGUGAUGAAGGUCUUCGGAUCGUAAAACUCUGUUAUUAGGGAAGAACAAAUGUGUAAGUAACUAUGCACGUCUUGACGGUACCUAAUCAGAAAGCCACGGCUAACUACGUG
rnacentral:rRNA from 1 species